UUAAGCGAAUAAGCGUACACGGUGGAUGCCUAGGCAAUCAGAGGCGAUGAAGGACGUGCUAAUCUGCGAAAAGCGUCGGUAAGGUGAUAUGAACCGUUAUACACCGACGAUAUCCGAAUGGGGAAACCCAGUAUCCAAUGGAUACUAUCAUUAACUGAAUCCAUAGGUUAAUGAGGCGAACCGGGAGAACUGAAACAUCUCAGUACCCCGAGGAAAAGAAAUCAACCGAGAUUCCCUAGUAGGCGGCGAGCGAACGGGGAGCAGCCCAGAGUCUUAAUCAAUAGCAGUGUCAGGAGAACGGUCUGGAAAGUCCGGCAGUAAAGGGGUGAUAGCCCCGUUAUCUGGAAGAUGCUGUUGUUGUGAACCUCGACGAGUAGGGCGGGACACGUGUUAUCCUGUCUGAAUAUGGGGGGACCAUCCUCCAAGGCUAAAUACUCCUGAUUGAACCGAUAGUGAACCAGUACCGUGAGGGAAAGGCGAAAAGAACCCCCGGGCGAGGGGAGUGAAAAAGAACCCUGAAACCGUGUACGUACAAGCAGUAGGAGGCCUCUUUAUGGGGGUGACUGCGUACCUUUUGUAUAAUGGGUCAGCGACUUAUAUUCUGUAGCAAGGUUAACCGUAUAGGGGAGCCGUAGGGAAACCGAGUCUUAACUGGGACCGAAUGAGUUGCAGGGUAUAGACCCGAAACCCGGUGAUCUAUCCAUGGGCAGGUUGAAGGUUGGGUAACACUAACUGGAGGACCGAACCGACUAAUGUUGAAAAAUUAGCGGAUGACUUGUGGAUGGGGGUGAAAGGCCAAUCAAACCGGGAGAUAGCUGGUUCUCCCCGAAAGCUAUUUAGGUAGCGCCUCGUGAAUUCAUCUUCGGGGUAGAGCACUGUUUCGACUAGGGGGUCAUCCCGACUUACCAACUCGAUGCAAACUGCGAAUACCGAAGAAUGUUAUCACGGGAGACACACGGCGGGUGCUAACGUCCGUCGUGAAGAGGGAAACAACCCAGACCGCCAGCUAAGGUCCCAAAGUCAUGGUUAAGUGGGGAAACGAAGUGGGAAGGCUCAGACAGCCAGGAUGUUGGCUUAGAAGCAGCCAUCAUUUAAAGAAAGCGUAAUAGCUCACUGGUCGAGUCGGCCCGCGCGGAAGAUGUAACGGGGGCGGUAAACCAAUGCACCGAAGCUGCGGGCAGCGACACAUAGUGUUGUUGGGUAGGGGAGCGUUCUGUAAGCCUGCGAAGGUGUACUGUGAGGUAUGCUGGAGGUAUCAGAAGUGCGAAUGCUGACAUAAGUAACGAUAAUGCGGGGUGAAAAACCCGCACGCCGGAAGACCAAGGGUUCCUGUCCAACGUUAAUCGGGGCAGGGUGAGUCGACCCUAAGGCGAGGCUGAAAAGCGUAGUCGAUGGGAAACGGGUUAAUAUUCCCGUACUGGUGGUAACUGCGAUGGGGGAACGGAGAAGGCUAGGUUGUCCGGGCGACGGUCGUCCCGGUUCAAGCCAGGUAGGCAGAGUGAUUAGGCAAAUCCGGUCACUUAAUGCUGAGAUGUGAUGACGAACCCACCAAGGUGGUGAAGCAAUUGAUGCCCCGCUUCCAGGAAAAGCCCUCUAAGCUUCAGGUUACCAACAAUCGUACCCCAAACCGACACAGGUGGUCAGGUAGAGAAUACUCAGGCGCUUGAGAGAACUCGGGUGAAGGAACUAGGCAAAAUGGUGCCGUAACUUCGGGAGAAGGCACGCUGGCGGUAGGUAAAGUCCCUUGCGGACAGAGCUGAAGCCAGUCGAAGAUACCAGCUGGCUGCAACUGUUUAUUAAAAACACAGCACUGUGCAAACACGAAAGUGGACGUAUACGGUGUGACGCCUGCCCGGUGCUGGAAGGUUAAUUGAUGGGUUAGCCGUAAGGCGAAGCUCCUGAUCGAAGCCCCAGUAAACGGCGGCCGUAACUAUAACGGUCCUAAGGUAGCGAAAUUCCUUGUCGGGUAAGUUCCGACCUGCACGAAUGGCGUAAUGAUGGCCAGGCUGUCUCCACCCGAGACUCAGUGAAAUUGAACUCGCUGUGAAGAUGCAGUGUACCCGCGGCAAGACGGAAAGACCCCGUGAACCUUUACUAUAGCUUGACGCUGAACAUUGAGCCUUGAUGUGUAGGAUAGGUGGGAGGCUUUGAAGUGUGGACGCCAGUCUGCAUGGAGCCAACCUUGAAAUACCACCCUUUAACGUUUGAUGUUCUAACCUAGGCCCAUAAACUGGGGUCGGGGACCGUGUCUGGUGGGUAGUUUGACUGGGGCGGUCUCCUCCUAAAGAGUAACGGAGGAGCACGAAGUUGGCUAAGCAUGGUCGGACAUCAUGCGGUUAGUGCAAAGGCAUAAGCCAGCUUGACUGCGAGAGUGACGGCUCGAGCAGGUACGAAAGUAGGUCUUAGUGAUCCGGUGGUUCUGAAUGGAAGGGCCAUCGCUCAACGGAUAAAAGGUACUCCGGGGAUAACAGGCUGAUACCGCCCAAGAGUUCAUAUCGACGGCGGUGUUUGGCACCUCGAUGUCGGCUCAUCACAUCCUGGGGCUGAAGUAGGUCCCAAGGGUAUGGCUGUUCGCCAUUUAAAGUGGUACGCGAGCUGGGUUUAGAACGUCGUGAGACAGUUCGGUCCCUAUCUGCCGUGGGCGUUGGAAGAUUGAGAGGGGUUGCUCCUAGUACGAGAGGACCGGAGUGAACGCACCACUGGUGUUCGGGUUGUCAUGCCAAUGGCAUUGCCCGGUAGCUAAGUGCGGAAGAGAUAACCGCUGAAGCAUCUAAGCGGGGAAACUUGCCUCGAGAUGAGUCUUCCCUGUCGCUUUAAGCGACCUAAAGGAACGUUUAAGACUAAGACGUUGAUAGGCUGGGUGUGUAAGCGUAGCAAUACGUUGAGCUAACCAGUACUAAUGAACCGUGAGGCUUAACCUG
rnacentral:rRNA from 1 species